UGGGGAAUAUUGGACAAUGGGCGAAAGCCUGAUCCAGCCAUGCCGCGUGUGUGAAGAAGGCCCUCGGGUCGUAAAGCACUUUAAGUUGGGAGGAAGGGCUUACAGCGAAUACCUGUGAGUUUUGACGUUACCGACAGAAUAAGCACCGGCUAACUUCGUGCCAGCAGCCGCGGUAAUACGAAGGGUGCAAGCGUUAAUCGGAAUUACUGGGCGUAAAGCGCGCGUAGGUGGCUUGAUAAGUUGGAUGUGAAAUCCCCGGGCUCAACCUGGGAACUGCAUCCAAAACUGUCUGGCUAGAGUGUGGUAGAGGGUAGUGGAAUUUCCAGUGUAGCGGUGAAAUGCGUUAGAUAUUGGAAGGAACACCAGUGGCGAAGGCGAACUACCUGGACUAACACUGACACUGAGGUGCGAAAAGCGUGGGGAGCAAAAACA
rnacentral:rRNA from 1 species